GCUCAACCGGGGAGGGUCAUUGGAAACUGGGGAACUUGAGUGCAGAAGAGGAGAGUGGAAUUCCACGUGUAGCGGUGAAAUGUGUAGAGAUGUGGAGGAACACCAGUGGCGAAGGCGACUCUCUGGUCUGUAACUGACGCUGAGGCGCGAAAGCGUGGGGAGCGAACAGGAUUAGAUACCCUGGUAGUCCACGCCGUAAACGAUGAGUGCUAAGUGUUAGAGGGUUUCCGCCCUUUAGUGCUGCAGCAAACGCAUUAAGCACUCCGCCUGGGGAGUACGGUCGCAAGACUGAAACUCAAAGGAAUUGAUGGGGGCCCGCACAAGCGGUGGAGCAUGUGGUUUAAUUCGAAGCAACGCGAAGAACCUUACCAGGUCUUGACAUCCUCUGACAACCCUAGAGAUAGGGCUUCCCCUUCGGGGGCAGAGUGACAGGUGGUGCAUGGUUGUCGUCAGCUCGUGUCGUGAGAUGUUGGGUUAAGUCCCGCAACGAGCGCAACCCUUGAUCUUAGUUGCCAGCAUUCAGUUGGGCACUCUAAGGUGACUGCCGGUGACAAACCGGAGGAAGGUGGGGAUGACGUCAAAUCAUCAUGCCCCUUAUGACCUGGGCUACACACGUGCUACAAUGGGCAGAACAAAG
rnacentral:rRNA from 1 species